rnacentral:rRNA from 1 species
GACAGAGGAUGCAAGCGUUAUCCGGAAUGAUUGGGCGUAAAGCGUCUGUAGGUGGCUUUUCAAGUCCGCCGUCAAAUCCCAGGGCUCAACCCUGGACAGGCGGUGGAAACUACCAAGCUGGAGUACGGUAGGGGGCAGAGGGAAUUUCCGGUGGAGCGGUGAAAUGCAUUGAGAUCGGAAAGAACACCAACGGCGAAAGCACUCUGCUGGGCCGACACUGACACUGAGGAGCGAAAGCGUGGGGAGCGAACAGG